rnacentral:rRNA from 1 species
CGUAGGUGAACCUGCGGAAGGAUCAUUACUGAGUGAGGGCCCUCUGGGUCCAAACCUCCACCCGUGUUUACCGUACCAUGUUGCUUCGGCGGGCCCGCCAGUCUGGCCGCCGGGGGGCUUUGCGCCCCCGGGCCCGCGCCCGCCGAAGACACCUUGAAUUCUUGUCUGAUGGUUGCAGUCUGAGUUGUGAUUAUCAUAAUCAGUUAAAACUUUCAACAACGGAUCUCUUGGUUCCGGCAUCGAUGAAGAACGCAGCGAAAUGCGAUAAGUAAUGUGAAUUGCAGAAUUCAGUGAAUCAUCGAGUCUUUGAACGCACAUUGCGCCCCCUGGUAUUCCGGGGGGCAUGCCUGUCCGAGCGUCAUUGCUACCCUCAAGCCCGGCUUGUGUGUUGGGCCGUCGUCCCGCCUCCUGCGGCGGGACGGGCCCGAAAGGCAGCGGCGGCACUGUGCCUGGUCCUCGAGCGUAUGGGAGCUUUGUCACCCGCUCUGUAGGCCAGGCCGGCGCCUGCCAACCAACCCCCGGCGAGACCGCGUGUCUCGUCAUCCAGGCUGAUCUCGGAUCAGGAAGGGAUACCCGCUGAUCUUACGCAUAUCAAUAAGAAGGAGAAAUG